rnacentral:rRNA from 1 species
AGGAUAAACGCUGGCGGCGUGCAUGAGACAUGCAAGUCGAACGGACGAUCGAGGCUUGCCUUGAUCGUUAGUGGCGGACGGCUGAGUAACGCGUAGGUGACCUGCCCCGAAGUGGGGGAUAACUGCCCGAAAGGGUGGCUAAUACCGCAUGUGGUGGUUCGUUCAAUCGACCCAUCAAAGCAGCAAUGCGCUUCGGGAGGGGCCUGCGUCCGAUUAGCUCGUUGGUGGGGUAACGGCUCACCAAGGCGACGAUCGGUAGGUGGUCUGAGAGGACGAUCACCCAGACUGGGACUGUGACACGGCCCAGACUCCUACGGGAGGCAGCAGUCGGGAAUUUGCGCAAUGGGCGAAAGCCUGACGCAGCAACGCCGCGUGAGGGAUGAAGGCCUUCGGGUUGUAAACCUCUUUUUUCAGGACGAUAAUGACGGUACCUGACGAAUAAGUCACGGCUAACUACGUGCCACAGCCGC